AAACUCCCUUGCCGGCCUUUAUUCCAACUGGUCAUGCUGGAGGAAAUGAUGGUAAUAGGAAUUUCCAUCCACCAACCCGAGGAGACCAAAUGCUUGGCGCCCCAAUGCCAGCAGUUUCGGCAGCAGACCACCUAAUGGUCAUGAACCUGGUAGCCAUUUCAACCAGACAUGGUGCAAUCAACGGGCUUUGAAUCCAAGAGAUAACAUAAAUAUGCCACAUCGUAUUGGUACCAGGACUUUCAUCAGGCCAGUUCCCCAAUUUUGUGGUCCAGCUCCACGGUUCAUCAAUGGACCUGGUUAUCCUGGUCCUGCUCCUCCCAUGUAUUAUGUUUCUGCUGCUCCUCUGGAAAUGAUGAGGGUCCUCCUCAUUUUGUUUCACAUCCUCCUCGUCCUCCAUAUCCUAUUCUGACACCAGAGGCACUAGCCUUGAGGGCUAGGAUAGUAAAACAAAUCGAGUACUAUUUCAGUGAUGAGAAUUUGCAGAAGGACCCGUACUUGAUAUCAUUACUGGACGAACAGGGAUGGGUUUCUAUAUCUAAAAUUGCAGAUUUUAAUAGGGUUAAAAAAAUGACAACAAACAUAUCCUUGAUUCUGGAUGCUUUGCAGAGCUCAGAGUUGAUAGAAGUUCAGGAUGACAAGAUAAGAAGGAGAAAUGACUGGUCAAAGUGGAUUCCAGCAUCAGCUCAGCAGGCAGUUUCAACAAAAUCUCAGUCUACGGAAGGCCAAUCUCCUGUCGCAUGGAAAAAAAUGACACUAGUGGAAGUAAUAAUUGUGGCAUCUUUCAUGAGAGCAAUGCUGGCCAAACUACAUGUAAAGAUAGUGACGAGUGUUUGCCCACAUCAAAUGAUUAUUCUAAGCAGAAGUUAAGAAUAGUACAGAAUGUAACAUGGGGAAGGUGUCAAGUGUUGGUAAAUCACUAGCAUGCAAUGGAGAUAGCGAAGAAAAGAGCAAAGAAUUAGCAUCUGGACCAUUUUUGGAAACUAAACAGGAGAGCCUUGUGGUGACUGUAGCUGUCUGUUAGACAACGAUUCUGUCAGGAGCAUUUCCGAUGUUAAGCAUGGCAGCAUUGAUAUUUCUGUUAGAUCUGAAGGUUUACAGGAAAAAACCUAUCCUUCCAGUAGUGGCACUGAUCCUUCCAGUAGUUGCAAUCCCGAACUUCAGGAAGUAAACACAAGGUCAAAUAUGAGACCUGGCACCCCAAGUCUAGGAGGUUCCUUAAAUGGUUUUGUGAAUAAUGAGUCUCCUAGCUUUGCUGGGGAGCAAAACACAUUCAUGCUUGAUGAAGAGCUGGAAUUAGAGCAGUCAACAAGCCAAAAAGACCAUCCAUCAUCAAACAAAAGGACUGAUGACGAGGAGGAUGAGAUUGAUGUUAACGACCAAGUUGUGCAUAAACUUAUAAUUGUUACCCAGGUAAGGUUAUGUGAUUGUUCUUGACUUCCGUUGCUUUCACCCCAUUUAUUAACUAUUUUGUUUAAUGGGCUUGUAUUUUAAUAACACAAAUCAAAU